UAGUCGGGAGGGACCAAUACGGGGCGUCGAAUAGGCGACCCUGGGUGACGGUACCUCCAAAGGAAGCACCGGCUAACUCCGUGCCAGCAGCCGCGGUAAUACGGAGGGUGCGAGCGUUGUCCGGAAUCACUGGGCGUAAAGGGCGCGUAGGUGGCUCGAUAAGUUGCUGGUGAAAUCCCGGGGCUCAACUCCGGGGCUGCCGGUAAGACUGUCGAGCUCGAGCACGGUAGAGGCAGAUGGAAUUCCCGGUGUAGCGGUGGAAUGCGUAGAUAUCGGGAAGAAUACCAGUGGCGAAGGCGUUCUGCUGGGCCGUUGCUGACACUGAGGCGCGACAGCGUGGGGAGCAAACAGGAUUAGAUACCCUGGUAGUCCACGCCGUAAACGAUGGACACUAGGCGUCGGGGGGAGCGACCCCUUCGGUGCCGUCGCUAACGCAGUAAGUGUCCCGCCUGGGGAGUACGGCCGCAAGGCUGAAACUCAAAGGAAUUGACG
rnacentral:rRNA from 1 species